UCUUAUGAAUGAGCAAAGAAUGUGGUUUCUUGAGAUGAAGUCUACUCCUGGUGCAGAUGCUGAGAA
rnacentral:pre_miRNA from 1 species